CCAUGUGGGGCUCACAGUCCUCAUCCCCAUUUUACAGACGAGGUAACUGAGGCACCGAGGCAGACAAUAUGGAUAAAGAGACACCAGUCACCACAUGGGACAGCAGAAGGAGUGAGGAGGGAGGAAGUGACAGUGGUGAGCACGUUCCUUGCUGCUCUGCCCUGUAGCAGCCCUUGCCCACAAGAUGGAAUGUCCAGGUCUCCCAGCCUCUGAGGAAUACUCACACUGAGGGAUGUCUUUACCCGAAAGAUCUAUUUGGGGUAUACAAGGACACCGAGAUUUGGGGGAUUACUUCCUACCAGGACACCAAGAUUUGGGGGAUGCCACUGACUUGCGGAUGACCUUGACCAAGUUGCUUUGGAUGACCUCGACCGAGUUGCUUUACUGUAAACAAAGGCUGCUAUUACCAGUCUCCUGCUCACCUUCUAGUUUCCUUAUCUAUAAAAUGGGCUAAAAUACCUAUUUUCCCUUUGCCUUAGAUUACGGGCCUCAUUCUGAUUGUCUGGUGUAUACCCCCACACUUAGCAGAGGUCUUCGCACCUAAUAAAUGUCAUAAAAAAACAACCCUCAAACAAAAUUAAAGUGUGUAAAGUGCCGAAGCCAAUCGGAGAAGCACUAGGUGAAUGAUUAAUUGACAGGAUCUGGCCAGGGUGUGGCGGUGAGUUGGGUCGGAAAGGAAAAGAUUAGUUUUGGUGAAUCUACGGGUUGUAAUAGCUUGUGAGGAAGUUGGCAGUGACAAGCAACAGCAACGGUGAUGGAGGGUGACUAAUCACCGGUAAGGUACGGAAACAAGGAUAGUGUUUCUACACCUAUCAACUUACACCCCCUACUCUUUAAGCACCGGCAUACCUCUCCAUUUCUCCUUCUUGCUUCCCUCUUUAAAUUAUUUGUAUCUGGUUCCCUCACUGGACUGUAAAAUCCUUGAAGGCAGGAAUUGUGACUUUUCAACUCUAUUGCACUUUCCCAACCACAGUAGGCAUUCAAUCAAUAUGAUCGAUGAAUUGAUUGAGGAAGUGAUGGUAAAGGCUGA